rnacentral:rRNA from 1 species
GGAGGAUCCAAGCGUUAUCCGGAAUCAUUGGGUUUAAAGGGUCCGUAGGCGGUUUUGUAAGUCAGUGGUGAAAUCCGGCAGCUCAACUGUCGAACUGCCAUUGAUACUGCAGGACUUGAAUAAUUGUGAAGUAACUAGAAUAUGUAGUGUAGCGGUGAAAUGCUUAGAUAUUACAUGGAAUACCCAUUGCGAAGGCAGGUUACUAACAGUUCAUUGACGCUGAUGGACGAAAGCGUGGGGAGCGAACAGGAUUAGAUACCCUGGUAGUCCACGCCGUAAACGAUGGAUACUAGCUGUUCGGAAGCAAUUCUGAGUGGCUAAGCGAAAGUGAUAAGUAUCCCACCUGGGGAGUACGAACGCAAGUUUGAA